GACGAACGCUGGCGGCGUGCUUAACACAUGCAAGUCGACCGGUAAGGCCCCAUUUUGCUUGGGUACACGAGUGGCGAACGGGUGAGUAACACGUGGGUGACCUGCCCCGCACUUCGGGAUAAGCUUGGGAAACUGGGUCUAAUACCGGAUACGACUGCUCCGUGAGGGUGUGGUUGUAAGAUCUUGGGUUUGGGAUGGGCCCGGGGCCUAUCAGUUUGCUGGUGGGGGAAUGGCCUACCAAGGCGGCCACGGGUAGCUGGCCUGAGAGGGGGGACGGCCAAAAUGGGACUGGGACACGGCCCAUAAUCCUACGGGAGGCAGCAGGGGGGAAAAUUGCACAAUGGGAGGAAGAGUGAGGCAGAGACGCCGCGUGGGGGAGAACGGCCUUCGGGGUGUAAACAGCUUUCUCCGUUGAGAAGGAUUAACUGACGGUAGAUGGAGAAGAAGCACCGGCUAACUACGUG
rnacentral:rRNA from 1 species